CUGUCAUCUCUUGUUGGUCGGCGGCGCAUCCAUUCUUCCAGUCAAUGCGAUCACAUAAAUUAGAGCACUAUUAUAAGAAGGACACGAAUAUUUCAUACGUCUGUGUCGACGGAUGAGGUCAUGGAUGACGAAUUCAUAGCGGGAAGAAGCGGAAAAUUUUUCCCCGCCGUUUUCUUGGAGCGCAGGUUUUAUUGCUCAAUGAUUUUGGGCAUCAACGAUUCAACUCUCUGGUGCAAGUUGAAUCUAAAAUAGCUUGGCAAUUGUGUUCUAAAGAUCAUAAAUCGUUCAAAGUUGAUUUUGAUGACUUCAGAGGAUAUUCUUAUGCUUUGAUGAUCAAAUACUUUUUUGUGUAA